rnacentral:piRNA from 1 species
GAGACUGCCUGCAAACUAUGUCAAAG